rnacentral:lncRNA from 1 species
AUGAGGAGGGGCUUCUUCUCCCAGAAUUCCUUGAAAAGAGUCUCUGUCUUGAUGGGUGAGAUUCAACUUUCGAAGAGACCACUGGGGCCAUCCAAGUUUAAGGUGGAAGCCCCACCAACAGUCCCCACCUUCACCUGUUUCCUGGGAACAGGCCCCUCUUCCUUCCCAUUCUCGGUAGGCUUCACUUUCUUUGGCAUUGUUCUGCGUUCAAGACAAAACAAGGAGGAAAUGCAGAUUUAUAAAGGCCAAGGCUCCUACUUUGUUGCGUUAUUAGAAUUGCACGAAUGCUGUUUUCUUCUUCUCUCUUGCCAUUGUAACUCGGCUACACUGAAGACUGAUUUUGUGACCCUCGCCGAGGUAUUUCCAGCCCAUUUGCGUGCGGAUCUGGCACCUUUACAGAUCACGGCCUCAGCUGCUGGCGGUGCUAUCGUCACUGAGUAUUUAUGUGUCGAGAGAACUGGCUUUUGUCCAGGAGAAGGGUCCCAAAGCCAAGAGCGCAGCCUGGCCCUGCAAAUGCAGCAGUGAAACUCAAUUUCCGCCAUGCAGCCUGAGUUUCCUUCAUUUCUGGAUUUUGUGACAGCUGAGCAUGGAAUUCGGUCCUGCUGCUCUUCUCCUUCCUUGCCCACUUCCUUCUGUUGCUGCUCGGGUCUGCGGAUUUGCUGAUGGCCCGCUCUAAUCUUACACGCGGAAUGGGAGGUGACCGCUUCAGGAAAAUCUGUCUCCAGUUGACUGCUGCCAUCCAGGCUCUGGGAAUCAGCUUCCGGUUUGUAGGUUGCUGGCUUUGGAAAUUCUAUGGUCCGACCUGUGGCUGUUUUCUGGAAUCCCUUUGAUCCUGAGCAAGACAAUUCCCUUCUCAGCUCCUAAGCGUACAAUGGGAGGCAGCUGUAAUGGUGCCCGACCCUAAUUAUUUCUGCAUCCUCUAGAUUUGGGCAGUUUUCUUGAUGCUUCAGAGUGGAACACUCCAGUGCUAUACUCUUGGAGUCUGGGGAGGGAACGGAAACCUUCCCCUUGGUGCCUCUGUGGCCUUGGUUUCAUAGGAAACUCAGAGCUCAUGGAGUUAAUACAACCAGAUCUAGAUUUAUGAUUCUCCGAUCUUUCUACGGCCAACACUUGUACGGCAGACACUUUGCCCAAGGAAGUAUUUGAGUAAAGAAUCCAAUAACCUGACCAUGACGUAUUUUAAACAUUCCCCUC